rnacentral:rRNA from 1 species
GACGAACGCUGGCGGCGUGCUUAACACAUGCAAGUCGAACGAAGAGCGAUGGAAGCUUGCUUCUAUCAAUCUUAGUGGCGAACGGGUGAGUAACGCGUAAUCAACCUGCCCUUCAGAGGGGGACAACAGUUGGAAACGACUGCUAAUACCGCAUACGAUCUAACCUCGGCAUCGAGGAUAGAUGAAAGGUGGCCUCUACAUGUAAGCUAUCACUGAAGGAGGGGAUUGCGUCUGAUUAGCUAGUUGGAGGGGUAACGGCCCACCAAGGCGAUGAUCAGUAGCCGGUCUGAGAGGAUGAACGGCCACAUUGGGACUGGGACACGGCCCAGACUCCUACGGGAGGCAGCAGUGGGGAAUCUUCCGCAAUGGACGAAAGUCUGACGGAGCAACGCCGCGUGAGUGAUGACGGCCUUCGGGUUGUAAAGCUCUGUUAAUCGGGACGAAAGGCCUUCUUGCGAAUAGUUAGAAGGAUUGACGGUACCGGAAUAGAAAGCCACGGCUAACUACGUG